rnacentral:rRNA from 1 species
UGGGGAAUAUUGCACAAUGGGCGCAAGCCUGAUGCAGCAACGCCGCGUGAAGGAAGACGGUUUUCGGAUUGUAAACUUCUGUUCUUAGUGAAGAAGAAUGACGGUAGCUAAGGAGCAAGCCACGGCUAACUACGUGCCAGCAGCCGCGGUAAUACGUAGGUGGCAAGCGUUGUCCGGAAUUACUGGGUGUAAAGGGAGCGCAGGCGGGGGAAGCAAGUCAGUUGUGAAAUCCAUGGGCUUAACCCGUGAACUGCAGUUGAAACUGUUCUUCUUGAGUGAAGUAGAGGUUGGCGGAAGUUCCGAGUGUAGCGGUGAAAUGCGUAGAUAUUCGGAGGAACACCGGUGGCGAAGGCGGCCAACUGGGCUUUUACUGACGCUGAGGCUCGAAAGUGUGGGGAGCAAACAGGAUUAGAUACCC